rnacentral:piRNA from 1 species
AAAGGGCUGUAACCACUAAAGGCUUAUG